rnacentral:tRNA from 1 species
CGGUAGCUCGCUGGGCUCAUAACCCAGAGGUCGCAGGUUCAAAUCCUGUCCCCGCUA